CUCAGUUUUCCAUCGCUGCUGGUUUCUCUCCAAGGAGGGCUCCGGUCUGUCCCUCCACACAGGUUUCUGCCGCAAGCAAUAGCAGCCAUCAAAGCAAAGUACAGAUUCCAUCCCCUGGAAAAAAGAGCCUUUGAGCUUCCUGUUACCUGCUCGGUGUUAUCUUUCCAUCACUACCCGUGAGCUUUGGCGCAGAGGAAAGAACACGGACCAGCUGCACUGGCUGUCAGAAAUCCAGGCUCCUCCUGUGUGCGACCCGGAAAACGCUAUGUACUUUAAAGAACCAUUGGGACGAUGACACAAAACGCGUGAAAAGUACCCCACACAGCCAAAGGACUCAGUAAACUUUAACGAGCGAGGCAGGGAAAGGGGUUAGUCCAAUGGCCAGUGACACAAUCUCGUGGGGGCGGGGGGAUCGGUCUUCGUUCAGCUGUGGUGCUGACCAGUGGAACUUUUUGCUGUCUCCACUGCCCGACACAGUAGCCACUAGCCACGUGUGGCUGUGAAGCCCCUUGAAACGUGGCUAGAGCCACGGAAGAACUGAAAUUUGAAUUUUAUUUCAUUGUAAUUAAUCGAAAUUAAAAAUUAGAACAGAUUUA